rnacentral:rRNA from 1 species
GACGAAGGGGGCUAGCGUUGUUCGGAAUUACUGGGCGUAAAGCGCGCGUAGGCGGCUUUGUAAGUUAGAGGUGAAAGCCCGGAGCUCAACUCCGGAAUUGCCUUUAAGACUGCAUCGCUAGAAUCAUGGAGAGGUGAGUGGAAUUCCGAGUGUAGAGGUGAAAUUCGUAGAUAUUCGGAAGAACACCAGUGGCGAAGGCGACUCACUGGACAUGUAUUGACGCUGAGGUGCGAAAGCGUGGGGAGCAAACAGG